AGUGAACGCUGGCGGUAGGCCUAACACAUGCAAGUCGAACGGCAGCACAGUAAGAGCUUGCUCUUACGGGUGGCGAGUGGCGGACGGGUGAGGAAUACAUCGGGAUCUACUUUUUCGUGGGGGAUAACGUAGGGAAACUUACGCUAAUACCGCAUACGACCUACGGGGGAAAGCAGGGGAUCUUCGGACCUUGCGCGAUUGAAUGAGCCGAUGUCGGAUUAGCUAGUUGGCGGGGUAAAGGCCCACCAAGGCGACGAUCCGUAGCUGGUCUGAGAGGAUGAUCAGCCACACUGGAACUGAGACACGGUCCAGACUCCUACGGGAGGCAGCAGUGGGGAAUAUUGGACAAUGGGCGCAAGCCUGAUCCAGCCAUACCGCGUGGGUGAAGAAGGCCUUCGGGUUGUAAAGCCCUUUUGUUGGGAAAGAAAAGCAGCAGGUUAAUACCCCGCUGUUCUGACGGUACCCAAAGAAUAAGCACCGGCUAACUUCGUG
rnacentral:rRNA from 1 species